AUGAACGCUGGCGGCGUGCCUAAUACAUGCAAGUCGAGCGAACGGACGAGAAGCUUGCUUUUCUGAUGUUAGCGGCGGACGGGUGAGUAACACGUGGAUAACCUACCUAUAAGACUGGGAUAACUUCGGGAAACCGGAGCUAAUACCGGAUAAUAUUUUGAACCGCAUGGUUCAAAAGUGAAAGACGGUCUUGCUGUCACCUAUAGAUGGAUCCGCGCUGCAUUAGCUAGUUGGUAAGGUAACGGCUUACCAAGGCAACGAUGCAUAGCCGACCUGAGAGGGUGAUCGGCCACACUGGAACUGAGACACGGUCCAGACUCCUACGGGAGGCAGCAGUAGGGAAUCUUCCGCAAUGGGCGAAAGCCUGACGGAGCAACGCCGCGUGAGUGAUGAAGGUCUUGGGAUCGUAAAACUCUGUUAUUAGGGAAGAACAUAUGUGUAAGUAACUGUGCACAUCUUGACGGUACCUAAUCAGAAAGCCACGGCUAACUACGUG
rnacentral:rRNA from 1 species